rnacentral:lncRNA from 1 species
GAGACUUACAUGUGCAUCAGACAGAAUGAUUUCCAAUGUUUCUCCUGAAAGUUUUGUGUAAUGCUUCCAGGUAUGGAGCACCUUAACUUGAAUACGCCAUUCUGACUUGAAUGGUUUGAUGUCAGCCAAAGCGGUGAGUUCCAUGCUUAAAGGUACUUUCUGAAUUAGAUUUGGAUUCUCAAAUAAGCUUUAAAGAAGUGUGUUAAGCGUAGAUGGUAGGAAGGAUGUUUAUAAAGAGAAGAUGGCGAUGGAAACAGUUUAAGUUAAGAUGAUGGCAUAUUUUACGGGAUUAAGGAGUUAGUUAUCAAAUUUUGAAAUUGAAUUUAGAAUAAUUGAUUUGAUUCCUGGAAUGUUCUUGUUUGUUGGAUAUAUAGUGAGAAAAAAUAGGUAUGCUCCAUAUUAUUAGGAAACAGUCGACAUAAGUAAGGUUAAAUAUUAUUAGCUAUAGUAAAUAUAGUGGUAAAGUCCAGAAAAUAUAUUAGUAUGUUGAUAGGAAGGAUGUUUAUAAAGAGAAGAUGGCGAUGGAAACAGUUUAAGUUAAGAUGAUGACAUAUUUUACGGGAUUAAGGAGUUAGUUAUCGAAUUUU